GGCCUGACGGCUGCAACCACUGCACCUGCCUGGAGGGGAGGCUGAACUGCACAGACCUGCCCUGCCCAGUGCCCGGAGGCUGGUGCCCGUGGUCGGAGUGGACAAUGUGCUCCCAGCCCUGCAGGGGCCAGACCAGGAGCCGCUCCAGGGCCUGUGCCUGCCCCACUCCUCAGCACGGUGGUGCCCCGUGCACUGGAGAGGCUGGGGAGGCAGGGGCCCAGCAUCAGAGGGAGGCCUGCCCCAGCUACGCCACGUGCCCAGUGGACGGAGCCUGGGGCCCAUGGGGGCCAUGGUCUCCCUGCGACAUGUGCUUGGGGCAGUCCCACCGGAGCCGGGCGUGCAGCCGGCCCCCCACCCCUGAGGGAGGGAGGCCCUGCCCUGGGAACCACACGCAGAGUCGCCCUUGCCAGGAAAAUUCCACCCAGUGCACAGACUGCGGGGGUGGCCAGAGUCUGCAUCCCUGUGGGCAGCCCUGCCCCCGCUCCUGCCAGGACCUGUCCCCUGGGAGUGUGUGCCAGCCAGGCUCUGUGGGCUGCCAGCCCACUUGUGGGUGCCCCCUGGGCCAGCUCUCCCAGGACGGGCUGUGCGUGCCCCCAGCCCACUGCCGCUGCCAGUACCAGCCUGGAGCCAUGGGGAUCCCUGAGAACCAGAGCCGCUCAGCAGGGUCUAGGUUUAGCUCCUGGGAGAGCCUGGAACCCGGAGAGGUGGUCACUGGGCCAUGUGACAACUGCACCUGUGUGGCAGGCAUUCUGCAAUGCCAGGAGGUGCCUGACUGCCCGGACCCUGGGGUGUGGAGCUCUUGGGGCCCUUGGGAAGACUGCAGUGUUUCGUGUGGGGGCGGGGAGCAGCUGCGCUCCCGGCGCUGUGCUCGUCCUCCCUGCCCAGGGCCUGCCCGCCAGAGCCGCACAUGCAGCACACAGGUCUGCAGAGAGGCAGGCUGCCCGGCUGGCCGCCUGUACCGUGAAUGCCAGCCCGGCGAGGGAUGCCCCUUCUCCUGCGCCCACGUCACGCAGCAGGUGGGCUGCUUCUCUG
rnacentral:lncRNA from 1 species